rnacentral:rRNA from 1 species
CCCUUAGAUGUUCUGGGCAGCACGCGCGCUACAAUGGUCUUCGCAAACGGAUGCAUUCUCGAAGGAGAAUGCCAAUCUUGGAAUCUAUGCCUUGGUCGGGACAGUUGCUUGCAAUUUUUCGACUCGAACCAGGAAUUCCUUGUAAUCGUGAUUCAUCACAUCACGAUGAAUACGUCCCUGCCCUUUGUACACACCGCCCGUCGCUACUACCGAUCGAAGAGUUAGGUGAAUUGUUUUGAUCGAUAAGAUUUGACUAUGGUCAACUCUCGUUGUGAAAUUCUGUGAAUCUGACUGUUUAGAGGAAGGAAAAGUCGUAACA